rfam:Stegodyphus mimosarum contig68729, whole genome shotgun sequence.
GCUUUCGUGGUGUAGUGGUCAGCACGCUCGACGCGCAUUCAAGAGAUCCCUGGUUCGAUUCCCGGCGAAGGCG